AUUUCUAGCAGUUUCAACUUUAUGUGAGAUGUCCAGCAAAUCGUGUUGUUUACUUUAGAUAUUCUCAUUCCUUUACUACAGUUUAAAUCUUCCGAUAAACUGAGUGUGAUUGUUGGAUGGUAAUAUUUCAUUUGAGAAGACAAAUUACAGUUGAAGCUCUCUAGUACAAGGAAGCUCUCCCUGGUAGUUUACCGAAGGAUUAUAAGCACAGCAUAGAGCGAGGAGGUACAGCGGCUGAUAGAAAGGUACAAGCACAACUUGAGCCUCAUCGUGGAUAAGAUCCAAGAGAUAAUUGUGGACUUCAGGAUGGCGCAGGGUGAUCAUUACUCAGUGCAUAUAAACAGCUUCUCCAUACAGAGUUAGGAGCACCAACUUUCUGGGAGUGCACAUAAUAGAUGAUCUCACCUGGACCCUCAACACCACAUCUUCUGUCAAGAAAGCACAGCAGCAUCUCCAUUUCCUGAGGAGACUGAGUGUAAUAAGAACAAAUAAAAUUCAUGGUGUGCAUCUAGGGGCUUACAAUAUUAUAUCUUUGGACUGUCGGAGGAAAUUGGAGCACUUGGAGGAAACCCACGCAUUCCACAGGAGGAUGUACAGACUCCUUAGAGAUGACAUCAGAACUGAACUCCUAGCUCCAAAGCAUCAGCUAACAUGGCACUAUUGAUGCUACUACGGACUCAGUAUCUAUACAGACUGAGGUCAAGGAAAACUGAGUCAGAGCAACAACCAUCAUUGCAAUCUUACAUGCCGCAAUGUCAUGUUACCUCAGUGAGCUUCCCACUGAAGUGCGAUUAAAAGGAAAUUAUACAACCUUCAAUAUUUCCAUUCCAGAACCAAGAUCAACCCACACAGUCUUUGAUUCAGAGGAAUUACAGAUGAUUUCUGUAAACCAAGCUCUUAAGUCAUCAUUGAAGUACAUGAAAAGACAGGCUUUAUAUCAACCAUACUGUCAUAAUGUAUGCCUACUGCAUAACAUCGUCUUAAAAUAAAACAAGAUACACAAUGUGAUAUUAACAUAGA